UAAGAGUUUGAUCCUAGCUCAGGAUGAACGCUGGCGGCGUGGAUAAGGCAUGCAAGUCAAACGGGUGCAUCUCACAAAGCUGAGAUGCAGAAUUAAGAAUAUAGAAUUAUGAGUUAUGAAUAAGAAGCGAUUCUUCAUUCAUACUUCCUAAUUCAUACUUCAUUAUUCUGCACCGAGGUUUUGCGAGGUGCAUCAGUGGCAGACGAGGUAGUAAUAAGUAGGUACGAACCUGGAAGUCAGGAAUAGCCGCGCGAAAGCGCGGGUAAUACUUGAUAGUCUGGUCAUUCCUCAUUGGGCUCGGAAUGACCCGCAGAAUAACGCAGAACGAAUGCGGAAGGUCGCUGAAGAAAUGCUCUUGUAUUUUUUCGGCGAUUGUCCGCGUUAAGUCCGCGAUUGUCUGCGGGUCGCGACGAGCGUAGCGAGGAGUGACCAGUAAAGAUUUAUCGCUUCCAGAUCGGCCUGCUCGGUAUCAGCUAGUUGGUAGUGUAAAAGACUACCAAGGCUAUGACGCCUAGGGGAGGUGAGAGCCUGACCCCCACCGAUGGAACUGAGACACGGUCCAUACACCUACGGGUGGCUGCAGCCGAGAAUAUUCGACAAUGGGCGAAAGCCUGAUCGAGCGACGCCGCGUGGAAGAUGAAGUCCUUCGGGAUGUAAAUUCCUUUUGUAGUCCAGAAAGUUUAUUGAUCGGACUAAGAAUAAGAGGUUGCUAAACUCGUGCCAGCAGCAGCGGUAAUACGAGUGCCUCGAGCGUUAUCCGGAAUUAUUGGGCGUAAAGGGUGUGUAGGAGGUCGUGUUAGUCUUCUGUUAAAUUCUUCGGCUUAACCGGGGGCAUGCAGGGGAAACGGCACGACUUGAGGAUGCGAGAGGUGAAUGGAACUCAUAGUGUAGGGGUGAAAUCCGUUGAUAUUAUGGGGAACACCAAAAGCGAAGGCAAUUCACUGGCGCACUCCUGACUCUGAAACACGAAAGCGUGGGUAGCGAAUGGGAUUAGAUAAACGCGUUUGUAAGGCAAGCGCUAAAUGCAAAAUGUAGAUCUCAAAAUGAAAAAUUGUCGUGUCGCCGGAGGCGACUCAAUAAUUUUAAUCUUUGAUUUUUAAAUUUUAAUUUUAAGCGGGCGGAGCGAACGCACAUGUCUCUUUCUGUGGUAACACAGAUUGUAAUUUGGCUAUAUGUUCCCGAUUUGUCUGCGAGCGUAGCGAGUAGCUACAAAUCGCAAUCCCUCCGGCCUUUUGGUUGGUGGAGAAAAACAAAAUCGGGAAACCGCCGGUCACGUCAUCACGACGAAAGUCUUGAUGGUGGAAGGCCGGUGGGGCUGGAAACUCCGUUGUAUCAUUAAGUACGAGCGAAAGCCGUCAAAAUCUUAAUGUGCGGACAAUCAGCAGGGAAGACUUGUAAACUUUGUUGAAGAUAUUUUGGUGGUUCUGACCCGUGGCGAUUCGAACAUGAGACUUCUGCACUCAAGCAGUGCUGAACAAACGUGUCGGAUAAACAUGGAAGCAAGGCAUGCCCAAAAGGCAAGCCAAAAGCAGGUGAGAUGGAGGUAUUCGAUAAAAUCACGAUCGAACCAUCUUACUAAUCGGAACUCUAUAGGCUCAUCGUGAUUGCCUGGAGGGUUGGAGAAGCCUUGUUCUCCCACCACAUCUUAUUAAAUUCUUCGGACAACCUCGGUUGUCCCUUCAACAAAGUUUACAAGAACCCUCAGAGACUAAACGCCAAACCCCUAAACCGGAUUCUCCGGUUGGGUGAAGAUAUAGUCCGACCUCUAUGGCGACAUAGAGAGCGAAACAGAAAUGUUUUCGCCGGUAGUAAUUGAGAAUUGAAGAUUUCGGGUAUUGAUUGAAAAUUGAUACUUGAAAAUUGAAAAUUCUUUUGUUACUCCGUAACAAAAGUGACCCCAGUAGUCCACGCCCUAAACGAUGUUCAUUAGCUAUUCGGAGUAUCGACCCUCUGAGUGGCGUAGCUAACGCGUUAAAUGAACCGCCUGGGUAGUACGGCCGCAAGGCUAAAACUCAAAGGAAUAGACGGGGACUUGCACAAGCGGUGGUCCAUGUGGUUUAAUUCGAUGGUAAACGAAGAACCUUACCAGGGUUAGAAAUCUAGUCGAAGGCAAGCAGAAACGUUUGUCGUCUCACAAGGACGGCUAGACAGGUGCUGCAUGGCCGUCGUCAGUUCGUGGUUUGAAUUGUUCCCUUAAGUGGGGUAACGAACGCAACCCUCGUUGCCUGUU
rnacentral:rRNA from 1 species